rnacentral:lncRNA from 1 species
CGUUUGGGUCGCCAAUCGAAACCGUCCCCUCUCCGAUCCACACUCCUCCACACUCGAGCUCACCUCCACCGGAAACCUAAUCGCCAGGAACUCCCACGACGGCGUCGUUUGGCAGUCGGACAACAAUCACCCGGGAACCGAUUUCCGGUUCUCUGAUACCGGGAAUCUGAUUUUGAUCGGAGACCACGGCUCUCCCGUUUGGCAGAGCUUUGAAAAUCCGACUGACACGUGGCUCCCGGGGAUGAAUGUCACCGGUCUAACGGCAAUGACUUCGUGGCGGACGCCAUUCGACCCUUCGCCGGGACUUUACUCCCUCAGGCUGAGCCCAAGCUUCAACGAGUUCCAGCUCGUUUUCAACGGAACCACACCCUACUGGUCCACCGGAAACUGGACCGGAGAAUCCUUCGUCGGCGUCCCGGAGAUGACCGUUCCGUACAUCUACCGGUUCCACUUCGUUAACCCGUACACCCCCGCUGCGUCCUUCUGGUAUAUCGUCACACCGUCGGACGCGUCGCCGGAGCCGCGGCUGACGCGGUU